GGGGGGGGGCCUAAUCAUGCCAGUCGAGCGGAAGAUGGGAGCUUGCUCCCUGUAUGUUAGCGGCGGACGGGUGAGUAACACGUGAGUAACCUGCCUGUAAGACGGGGAUAACUCCGGGAAACCGGGGCUAAUACCGGAUGGUUGUUUGAACCGCAUGGUUCACACAUAAAAGGUGGCUUCGGCUACCACUUACGGAUGGACCCGCGGCGCAUUAGCUAGUUGGUGAGGUAACGGCUCACCAAGGCCACGAUGCGUACCCAACCUGAGAGGGUGAUCAGCCACACUGGGACUGAGACACGGCCCAAACUCCUACGGGAGGCAGCGGAAGGGAAUCUUCCGCAAUGGACGAAAUUCUGACAGAGCAACGCCACGAGAGUGAUGAAGGUUUUCAGAUCUUAUAGCUCUGUUGUUAGGGAAGAACAAGUGCCGCUCAGAUGGGGCUGCACCUUGACGGUACCUAACCAAAAAGCCACGGCUAACUACGUGCCAUCAGCCGCGGUAAUACGUAAGUGGCAAGCGUUGUCCGGAAUUAUUGGGCGUAAAGGGCUCGCAGGCGGUUUCUUAAGUCUGAUGUGAAAGACCCCGGCUCAACCGGGGAGGGUCAUUGGAAACUGGGGAACUUGAGUGCAGAAGAUGAGAGUGAAAUUCCACGUGUACCGGUGAAAUGCGUAAAGAUGUGGAGGAACACCAGUGGCGAAGGCGACUCUCUGGUCUGUAACUGACGCUGAGGAGCGAAAGCGUGGAGAGCGAACAGAGAUUAUAUACCCUCGAUACUCCACGCCGUACACGAUGAGUGCUAAGUGUUAUGUGGGUUUGCAGCCCUUUCGUGCUGCAGCUAACGCAUUGAAGCACUGCGGCUGCGCGAGCUACGAGUCGCAAGACUGA
rnacentral:rRNA from 1 species